CACCCACGCGGAGAUGUGUGAGGAAGAAGAAGAGAGGAGAAGAAGUUGGCUCGCGGCGCGCUCCGGCACUCAACAUUAAAAAACUGUGUUUCAUUUGAGGAAGAAGCAAGCAAAGGACAGACUACCAGAGGAAGCUUUUCCCGGGGAAUGCAGAGGAAUAUCCGCCGGCAGAGACACCAGCAACCCCGGCUCCAUCCCCACCCACCCGCCCACUUACCCCUCCUUGCGUCCUUCUGUUAAAGUUGAAUAAAACAAAGACGUUUAAAAGCCGGUUGGUUUUGUGAUUGAUGCCGAGGAACUAGAGCUCGCGACCUGUGGACGGCGGCGCGCGCGCGGAGGACUGAAGUCUGUGUGUCUGUCGGUCUGUCUGAAGUCUGUCGGCGCCUUUGAUCCUGGAGCAGAGGAGCGGCGCGAGCCACAAGCGGCGACGAGAAGACGAGCGUCCAGGUGAAGGAGACGACACAGCCCGGCUCAGGAUGAACAACAGCAAACCCGAGAAAGAAAACGAGCAGAGUGAAUUCACGAAUCACGAAGAGGAGGUCCGAACACUAUUUGUCAGUGGGUUACCACUGGAUAUCAAACCUCGGGAGCUCUACCUCCUCUUCAGACCAUUUAAGGGAUACGAAGGCUCCUUGAUAAAACUCACUUCAAAACAGCCGGUGGGGUUUGUCAGCUUUGACAGUCGAUCAGAGGCAGAGGCUGCUAAGAAUGCCUUGAACGGGGUCCGUUUUGAUCCAGAGAUUCCCCAAACUCUGCGUCUGGAGUUUGCUAAAGCCAACACCAAGAUGGCCAAGAACAAGCUGGUUGGCACCCCGAACCCCCCGCCCUCCCAGCAGAGCCCCGGCCCGCAGUUCAUCAGCAGAGACCCAUAUGAGCUCACAGUGCCUGCUCUAUAUCCCAGCAGCCCAGACGUGUGGGCGUCAUACCCCCUGUACCCGGCGGAGCUGUCGCCGGCCCUUCCACCCGCUUUCACCUACCCCUCCUCGCUCCACGCUCAGAUUCGUUGGCUCCCGCCUGCAGAUGGAACUCCUCAGGGAUGGAAGUCCAGGCAGUUCUGCUGAAGUAUGUGUUCCUGAUGUGUGAUGGUGGCCGUGGCCGGCUGUGACGGCGUUGCUGAUUUCCUUGUGUCCUGCCGGAAACGACGAGGAAGGACCCGACUCCAGCUCUCGGGGCAGCGCAGCGUCGGCAGCAGCAGCCGCAUGGGCCUCAGGACAUACUAGACCCCCAGCCUCCAUCACACAUCAAGUCCCCCCCCCCCUCCCCGCCCUCUUUCAUCCACCCCAAAGUCCCUGCAACUCUUUUUUUUUUUUAUACUGUUACUUACUCUAGAUUUAUGAGGCAGCGCUUUGGCUACACCUCCUCUGACAUAUACAUGGAAAAGGAGCACUCGUCCUUUUUGUUUAUUGAUCGACUGCAUCGCCUUUUCCAACGUUUGCCGAUGUCUUGCUUUACAACCUGCAAAUGCAAGUGUCAGGACGGACAACCAAAGGAGUGCCAACACGCUCAUAUGCAGCCCCUUUGCAGGGCCAGAUUGGAUGGAAGUGUGGCUAAAGUGCUACUGUUUAAUCUUAUUAUACAACUAGAACUAUUACUAUUCUGUAUAUCAUUCAUAUUAAGGUUACAAUUAAUGAAUACAUGUUAAAGCAUGACUUUUCAAAAAAAAAAGAGGAAAAAAACAAUGCUGUACAUUUUUAGAUAUUUUAAAGAAACACAAAAAGGUAUUUUUGUAAUCAAGACAAUGUUGAAAUGUUUUGAUUGGUUUGUUUUGCUGAGGUGUGUGAACUUUCAUACCUCCUUUUUUUUUUUGUUUUUGCCCUUUAUGUUUUGUGCCAUUAUAAAAUGAUGAGUCACCCUGCCAUACCAAAGCAGCCCUGUCACUUUGCGUCAUGUCUUUUUCUACACAAGUGUGUGAAUUUUUAGAUUGCUUAUAUGUGAUUUAUUUUAUUUGAUUUUUUUCUAGAGUUUCUUUACCCGAAAAAGUGAGCACAGGCGUCCUUUUGUCUGGUCAGCUGUGCAGCAAUGUCGACAUUGAAAUACAACCCGAUCCGGCUCAUUAUUUUGCAGUUUCUGGUAAUCAGACGUGAUGAGAGGCAUUGAUGGAAUAAGCCAUCGCCGGUGAAGAUAGUGACCCCACAGAUGGCAAUACGUGGCAAACUGAGCCCUGCUAUUAUUAGGAAUUUGCUCCUUCGUUGUGUAGCAGGAGGACAGCAACACAGAAUAGAGAAACAAAAGACCAAAGGCAUUUUUUUUUAAACACUGGAGAGCUGUCUAGGCUUGUGCUAUUAUUCCAUUUCUGACUGCUUUGUAGUCCUCAGUCUUAUUUCUUCUGAAGUAUGACAUUAUUUUUGCUGCAUGUCUCUUUUGGUGUCACUCCAAAGAGUCGCUCCGCAUCUGAAAGAAUUUUCACUUUAAACAAUUUGUCUUUUUUUUUUUUGUCUAUUUUAGGAAACCAAUGUUAUUGAACCUGUUUUUAUGAAGUUUAAAUUUACAUAGUAAUGAUUUAGAUGGGGGGAAAAUUGUCUUUUGUAAUCUGGUGUCUGCAAUAAUGUCUGUGUUGUAUGACAUAUCAUGGAGUGAUCAUAUUUCUGUGACAUUUUUGAUGCCAAAAUUAUCCUCAUUGUCACAUUUGUACAGAAACAAACUGAUUCUUGUACGUCUCCAAUAAAGUCACAUUUCACUGUGAUGUGACAAUCAAAAACUCAAAUGCUGUAAGAAAAAAACAAUAUUCCCUGUAAUGUUGAGUUCAGAUGUGUAAACUCAUCCUGGGCUGGUUGGAUCAUAGACAAUAGUCAGUGUUUGUAAUGAAUAAUAAUAUGCAUAAUAUACAGGUAGAUAAUAACGCCUGAUUUUCUGAAAACAGUUUUUGAUUUUCAGACCUUUUUAAGCCAGCUAUGGCGCCAAAUUUAUUAGAACAAGUAUUUAUAUAAAAGGUGUGCGUGUGUGUGUGUGUGUGUUUUUAAGGGUAUUUUCUUUUUUAAUUUCAUAGAAGAUGCCCACCGUAUAAUUCAUUGUAAGUAUUAUUGUAAGUUUAAUUGUGUAUUCAUUUGAUCAUUUUUGUAGAGCUUUUUUUGGUUUGUAGCUGUCCGGUAGGAACAGUCUGUAUGUGUCAUGUGAAUACUGUUAUACCUACAUGAUUCACUGUGAAAUCCAGAGAAGAAAAUGCUCCUUGAACAAAUGGAUCUCUUCAUGUUUUCGCCAGCAGUAUGGUACAGAAGUUCCUGGAAAUUAAUACGAAGACCGCGCCUUUUGUCAAUGACAGAUAUUCCUUUACUAGGUUCAGUAUACUGUGUGUAGCUGUGUGUUGUGCAUGUUCGCAGCAUGUGUGUGUGUGUUCUUUUCCUUUUCCCUUAAUGCAUACAGUAGUGUUGAUAUUUAUGUACUUCGGCCACUGUAAGGAGAAACUGUAUUUCGGUGAAUUGCAGAGGUUUGUUGGUUUAAAACAAAAAGAAGCCGAUCAAAUCAAGGCGUUUUUAUGAAAAUGUUAAAUGAAGACAUUUCAGGCCUUCUGUUAUUAAAAAUUGACAUUGUCUUUGCUGUCAUGAUGCCA